rnacentral:rRNA from 1 species
UACGUAGGGUGCAAGCGUUAAUCGGAAUUACUGGGCGUAAAGCGUGCGCAGGCGGUUUUGUAAGUCUGUCGUGAAAGCCCCGGGCUUAACCUGGGAAUUGCGAUGGAGACUGCAAGGCUUGAAUCUGGCAGAGGGGGGUAGAAUUCCACGUGUAGCAGCGAAAUGCGUAGAGAUGUGGAGGAACACCGAUGGCGAAGGCAGCCCCCUGGGUCAAGAUUGACGCUCAUGCACGAAAGCCAGGGGAGCAAACGGG